rnacentral:rRNA from 1 species
GCUAUACAUGCAGUCGAGCGGANUUGAUGAGAAGCUUGCUUCUNUGAUGCUUAGCGGCGGACGGGUGAGUAACACGUAGGCAACCUGCCCUCAAGUUUGGGACAACUACCGGAAACGGUAGCUAAUACCGAAUAGUUGUUUUCUUCGCCUGAAGGAAACUGGAAAGACGGAGCAAUCUGUCACUUGGGGAUGGGCCUGCGGCGCAUUAGCUAGUUGGUGGGGUAACGGCUCACCAAGGCGACGAUGCGUAGCCGACCUGAGAGGGUGAUCGGCCACACUGGGACUGAGACACGGCCCAGACUCCUACGGGAGGCAGCAGUAGGGAAUCUUCCGCAAUGGGCGAAAGCCUGACGGGAGCAAUGCCGCGUGAGUGAUGAAGGUUUUCGGAUCGUAAAGCUCUGUUGCCAGGAAGAACGCUUGGGAGAGUAACUGCUCUCAAGGUGACGUACCUGAGAAGAAAGC